rnacentral:rRNA from 1 species
GGGCCCGCACAAGCGGAGGAACAUGUGGUUUAAUUCGAUGAUACGCGAGGAACCUUACCCGGGCUCGAACGGUGUUUGAAUAAGUGUGAAAGCUUGUAGCCAGCAAUGGCUGUAGUCGAGGUGCUGCAUGGUUGUCGUCAGCUCGUGCCGUGAGGUGUCGGCUUAAGUGCCAUAACGAGCGCAACCCUUAUCUUUAGUUACCAUCAGGUUAAGCUGGGGACUCUAGAGAGACUGCCACCGUAAGGUGAGAGGAAGGUGGGGAUGACGUCAAAUCAGCACGGCCCUUACGUCCGGGGCGACACACGUGUUACAAUGGGGGGGACAAAGGGUCGCUACUUGGCAACAAGAUGCUAAUCUCUAAACCCUCUCCCAGUUCGGAUCGGAGUCUGCAACUCGACUCCGUGAAGCUGGAUUCGCUAGUAAUCGCGCAUCAGCCAUGGCGCGGUGAAUACG